GUCGAAGGCAUCGCGAGUGACAUCACGAACCUCAAGUUCCUCCUCCUAUGCUUUCAGCACCUGUCGGGUCUCAAGAUUAACUUUGACAAGAGCUAGGUCAUGGUAUUAGGGUACUCUCCUGAAGAGAGCCAAAGCAUUGCUAACCGGCUUAAUUGCCCUUUGGGUUCUUUCCCCACCACCUACUUGGGGAUCCUCAUUAGUGACUCCCGCCUUACUGUUGCUGAUUUGAGGCCCUCGGUCCUCAAAUUGCAACACCGCACCGAGCCCUGGCAGGGGAGAUGGCUCUCAAAGGUGGCACAGACCAUUAUCAUAAACUCGAACCUGUCCAGACUCCUGUUGUUCAUUAUGAGCCUCUACAACCUAAACGAGACUUUGCACCACGAGAUUGGCACGAUCCAAGCCCGCUUUUUCUGGGCUGGUGAGGGUGACAAGAAAAAACACCACAUGGUUCGGUGGUUUGAGAUUUGCAAGCCUCGUGACCAGGGUGGCCUCGGGAUUAUGUCCUCCAAACGCAUGAACAUCGCCCUCCUUGCUCAAUGGCUUUGGCGAAUCUCGAAAGGUGAGGGUGGUCUUUGGCUGUAG
rnacentral:rRNA from 1 species